rnacentral:lncRNA from 13 species
UGGCUCGAUACCUUCAGUUAUUUCUUCUUUUAUGUAAAAUAUUUUCUUCACUCUUGCUUUUCCUAAGAGUUAUCCAGAGUUCCUCGCAGGAUCAUUGGGAUUAGGAGAUGGUCAUUUCAUUUUAAUGGUGAGUAAUGGCUCCAUACUUCAUGUUGUUACUUCUUCUAUCUGAAAUACUUCCUUCACUCUUGUUUUUCCUAAAAGUUAUUCAGAGUUCCUCCCACGACUGCUAUAGAUACCUGUGCUUGACAUUGAUAGCAUAGCACAGAACUAGAAAGACAUGGUCUUUGCUCCCUGAGAUUUACAAUCUAUUUUUAUAUAGCCUAGCACCUAGUACAUAGCACAAGACCUAGUAAACAAUGCAUGCUUAUCAAGAUAGCAAAUAAGUUAAUGACUGUUCAAAGGGAAAUAAGAGUGUCCAGAUGAUUACAGUCAAGACCAUCAUAAUAACAUUGUGACGUGACAAGUCCACAUAGUCACAGGAAGGCAGGGUGAACACAGUGGUUCCCAGUCCUUGGCACAUCGGCUUCACCUGGAGAGCUUUAACAGUUACUGAUUUAGCCAGGCAAGGUGGCUCACAUCUGUAAUCCCAGCACUUUGGAGGCCAAGGUGGGUGGAUAGCCUCAGUGAAUUGGACUCUCGCAUCUGACAGGAGAAGAUUUUGGAGCAUGGAGGGACAUCAAGUAGGAGAGAGCAGAAGCUGGGCAGGAGGCCGGCUACACAUCAGCAUGUGCAGAUGUAAUCAGAGUGAGGUUCAUCUGUACAAUCCAGAAAAGGAAUUUCUACAGAAAACCCAAAGGAAAUGGAAUUUAUCUCUCCGUAGCUAAAUACCUUGCAAGCUUUUGAGGAUGCUUGCAUGUCUGAUGAUGAUGAAAGCCAAAUAGUUUUGAGUAUUUCAACAACAGCAGGAACAGCAACAUACUUGUGGUGCAUGCUCCAUUUUUUAUUGUCAAUGCCUGUGAGCUAUUAUCAUACUAAAUCAGCAAUGUGAACUGAGAAGAUAAUCUUUAUCUUUGUCUUAUAGGCAAGAAACAAUGACUGCCUGGGAAUCUUUGAAUCCAGGGUAAAUUGUAGAAAUAGUAAAACAUAAUUUUAUGUAAGUUUUCAAGUGGCACCAAAUUUUGUU